AAUGAAAAAGCACCAAACAUAAUAUAAAUACCAUAACCGGAAAUUAGUGGAAUUAGGAAACAAGUCUACCAUUAGAUGUACUAUUAAUACGUUGCACCCGGCAUUUCUUUUCCAGCAUUUUUAAACCUAAAAAUGGUGAGUAUGCGAUGCAAAUUGUUAACUUACUUUUUCCGUUCAUAAAACCAAUCCGUCCGACUGGAACCAAGAUUUAUAACACGAGGGCAACCAUCACGAUCAUAUUCCAUACGUGUGCAUUCCGAACAAUAAUAACAAUCAGAAACACCUGGAGCUCCACAAAUAAUGCAUCGGUCUUGUGAGCUACCAAACGCGCAUUCAUCACAUAUUCUCACCAACGUUGUCGGCCUUACAUGAGAAUCACAAAUAGGGCAUUUUUCGUCACAUCGUUCACAUACUGUAUAUUCAUGAGUAUUAGAAUCUGCCAAUUAUUUAACUAUGCCAAAUUAUAGAACACUUUACACUUACACUUUCCAACAGUAAUUCCUGGUUGU